UCCUCAGCUCCCUCCUUCCUCCGGCGGUCCGACGCGCCGCUUGCUGCUAGCUUUCUCCGCCCUGCGCGCCAUGGUCGUGCCAUAGCUGCUCCCUGGCCGACCUCCGUUUCUUCGCUGGCCGGCCCUCACCUCCACUCAGCUCCCAUGGCGCUCGGCGCCCUCUACUUUUCCUCCCCACGCCAUUCCCCCUCCUAGCUCGGCCCUUCCUUUCCCUCCUCGACUCCCCCAUGGAACAACGUCGUGCUCCUUCUGCAUAUGGCUGUGCGUGGGUGCAGCUUGAAGAAGAACUCGCUGUGCUAAUGACGUGUGGAUCCAGGGCUAAGGUAAAACAGUCAAUGUGCAGAUUUGUGGGAUGUUUUAUAAAAUUCAUAUCUUGAGUUUCGGAGAUCCAAAAAUCACGAAAUUUGUUUUGUUGGCUUCCUUGUGAAAUGCUCUAACUAUUGGAUCUAUAUGUUUGUAUGUUUUAGUGCAAAAGUUUUUCUGUAGAAAUUCGUAUUUAAAAAUUGGUUUAGAAAAUAAAUGAACUUGCAUCUCUCCAUAGUUUUAAUUAUAAAAAUCCAAAAAUGAUGAAACUUGUUUUAUUAGUUAGAUGUUGUCAUGCUCCAUCAAGGAAAAAUAUAAAACUUAUAUGUUGUUCACUGUUUUCUUGGUGUGUUAAUUUAAACAUGUUAAAUAGGAAAAAGAUGAUUGUUUUGCUUGUUAUUUUUUGAUCUGUAGCUCUACUGCUCCAAAUCGAUUCACAUUUUUACAGUAGACUCUUGUUGUGAUGCUUGGGGACUGGUAAAAAUUUUAUGAAUUGUUGUGCAUGUAUGAUUAAGUUAGUGAUUUAACUUGUUUAAUGCACCUUAAGUAGUUUUAAAUAAUUUAUAAAUAAUAUAUGCAUGUAAAAAUGGAAAAUGGUGUUCCACUGUCCUUGCAUGAUAUUAUAGUAUCCUAAGAAAACUUAAUAUGGUCAUGUAUUCACAGAAAAUAAUUAAUUUUAGAAUUAACUUGCUCUCACAUGCUUUAUUGCAUUAACAAAUUGUUAUUUUUGUAGUAAAUAAAAUAUAAAAUCUGAGCAUGUGAAAUUUAUACAUUAGUCAUGAUUUGUUAUUACCUAUGCGACAUAAAAAUUUCAGCUCCAAAUUAGAUAGUUUCAUAUGUUGCUAAAUGACACACGUUUUAUAAUUAUAAGAAGAAUUAGAGACAAAUUAGAAGUAAACAAAAGCGUGCAUGUUUCUUGAAAUACUUAAGUGUCUUGAGUGCAUGCCGCAAUAUAAUUGUAUGUGAGACGGGAUUAUGAACAUGAUGAGUUUAGUAAAAACCCAUCGAUCGGUGUCAUUAGUGUUAAGAGUAGGUUUAUUUGCGCGUGGACAGUAACAGUGUGUUUAAUACUUAGAACUCUUAGUCGAUAGUAGAAAUUGUUUUGGCUUAUAUAGAGAGGUGGUGACAUGCCAAAUAGUCGUCGCUUUCUCUAUAAUUAUAAGUUGAGUCGUGACGAUGCGUACAUAGUUCGUCAAAUGGAGUUUCGCAGAUAGUGUAUGAUUGUGCUUACGAUUUCGAGUAGAUACUUCAAAUAAGUCAAGUAGGUUUGUAAUGCAAGAUGCGUGAUGAAGUUAGUUUGUUUUAGGAUAUUUGUUGAAAUGCUCCAUUCAUGUGAUAGACAUGUGUGGUUAAUUCAAAUCGAGUUGAUGUGUGUGACGAUGAUAUUCAUGAAUUAAGUAGAUGUCCUGAAAUUGUGUAGUGAAGCUUAGGUUAAGUUGCAAGCGAUGUGGGAAUGUUUUGGUAAAUAUGUAUGUGAAUUGUGAACAAGUCAUUUAACGUAGUAGGCAUGUCGUGUAGUGGUGGUAUGAAAAAAAUGGGUUAGGAAUCGAUCGACUAAAUGCCAAGUUCGGUUAGAGUUAUUUUGCUACUUGGGAUUGUGGGGUGAAGUGAUGGCAUGACUACGUAGCCAUCACGUCAUCUAUUGUGUGACUAUGCUUAAGUGUGCCUUGAUAUAAGUUAGAAUAAGUCGAGUCUCUAGAACGCGAUAAUUUUUGAAGUAAAUAGAAGCUGAAUUUUAUUAAUUGCUGUUUUAGGCUGCACGCGCUGUUUUUGUCGUGCUGCAUGUUUGAUGAACUAAAUUGUAUUUUCUGUAGAUAUGUGCCAUAGAAAAGGGGUAGAUAACUUUAUUAUCUUGCUGGUGUUAAAAUUUGACAGUCAUAAGUCUGAUCGUUUAGGAGUUAUGCUUUUUACAAAUUUAGUAACUGAAUUUGUCCCAAUUCUGUACAGAUUUCAGAAACUGCACUGUUUGCUUAAGUUAAUGUUACAAUCUGUUCAUGGUUGUUAUAAGAAAGUUGUAGAAGCUUUUCUCAUCUUACUUGUGAUAAAAUUUCAUAACCAUAAGCCUGACAGUUUAAGAGUUAUGAAUUUUACAAACUGAUUGUUGUGUUCUGUCCACUAUCAGAACAGAUUUUGAAAACUGUAAUGUUGGGUUUACUUAAACCUGGAAUCAAUUCUUGGUGAUUAUAAAAGUUAUGUAGUGCUUUUGCUGAGCUUUCCAAAAAGUCUUAGAUCACUCUUUUUGGUGGUCUGAAGAUUAAGUUAUGGAUGUUUAAAGUCUGAAAACUGAAUCUGUCCAGUUCUGGACAGUACAGCCUUCAUAGUGUAUUUUACCCUUGAUACAUAUUAAACUAGCCAAUGAUGUUUAUAAAUAAUUUGUAGAACAUUUAAUUAUCUUUUCAGAAAGUCUAAAAUCACUUUGUUUGGAUGUUUGAAUCUUUAGUUAUGAAUUUUUAAAUUCACAAGUCUGAAUCUGUCCAAAUCUGGACAGAUCUGUUGUGUUAGCACUUUUAACCUUGCUAAGUGUUGAAUCUUGUUGAGGUGAAAAUACCAAAGUUGUAGAGAACAUUUUACGCUUUCCAGAAAGUCCUAGUUUGCUAUGUUUGGAUUAAUAUUUGAAAAGUUAUGAUUAAAACAAGUAACUGUUGUGCUGCUGUCCCAAAAAUCUGCAAGCACUCAUUUAAUUGUUAGUUCACCCUUUUGGCUAAAAAUGAUUGGUUGGCACUAAAUUCACAUAGAAUUGCCAUGGCUAAGCUUGAGAUAAUAUAUGUGUCAUGUUUUUAUACGUUUCUUUCUCUAGUUAAUUGUGAUGUAGUAUUGUGUUGCGUAAAUAUCCAAAAUGUUUGUCGUCUUUUUAGUGAUGUAAUGUUGUGCGCUCGACGAUACGUAGUUAGCUAACGCUAGUGGGUGUGGUUGCUUGUAAUGUCUCGCUACUUAGUGUUUAAUUCGCUAGCGUGUACUUAAAUUAUCUUGUGCUGUUUCAUUAUAUUCAUACAUAUGCAUAUUGCAUCUCAUUUAGGACCGAGAGAUGAUGAUCGAGCCAUUGAUGUGGUGCCAACCACAAGAUGCAGUUGGUGGACGACCUGGAGAAUGGUGGACUUACCCAGUAGAUACUCGCCAAGCGAGUACCUCCCCC
rnacentral:lncRNA from 1 species